AUCCCCGUGGUGUAGUGGUUAGCACUAUGUUCUUAUAAUCCUUCGAUUGAUAGGAGAUAUGCAUGGGUCGCCAGUUCGAUCCUGGCCGGGGAUA